ACCAGACUCCUACGGGCGGCAGCAGUGGGGCCUCUUGGACAAUGGGGUCCCCCCUGAUCCCGCGCCGCCGCGUGCGUGCAGAAGUAUUUCGGUACGUAAAGCUCUCUCAGCAGGCCCGCACAUGACGGUCCCUGCCUAAGAAGCCCCGGCUAACUACGUGCCCGCAGCCGCGGUCCUACGUAGGGGGCACGCGUUAUCCGGCUUUACUGGGGGGAAAGGGAGCGUAGACGGCAGCGCAAGUCUGGAGUGAAAGGCCGGGGCCCAACCCCGGAACGGCGCGGGAAACGGUGAAGCGGGAGGGCAGGAGAGGUAAGCGGAAGGCCUGGUGGAGCGGGGAAAUGCGGAGAGAUCAGGAGGAACACCGGCGGCGAAGGCGGCUUACUGGACGGGAACUGACGGGGAGGCUCGAAGGCGGGGGGAGCAAACAGGAGGAGAUACCCGCGGAAUC
rnacentral:rRNA from 1 species